UCAAAAAGCCGAUCGUAGUCCGGAUUGGAGUCUGCAACUCGACUCCAUGAAGUCGGAAUCGCUAGUAAUCGCGGAUCAGAAUGCCGCGGUGAAUACGUUCCCGGGCCUUGUACACACCGCCCGUCACACCAUGGGAGUUUGUUGCACCAGAAGUAGCUAGCCUAACUGCAAAGAGGGCGGUUACCACGGUGUGGCCGAUGACUGGGGUGAAGUCGUAACAAGGUAGCCGUAGGGGAACCUGCGGCUGGAUCACCUCCUUA
rnacentral:rRNA from 1 species